AACGAACGCUGGCGGCAUGCCUAACACACGCAAGUCGAACGAGACCUUCGGGUCUAGUGGCGCACGGGUGCGUAACGCGUGGGAACCUGCCCUUAGGUUCGGAAUAACUCCCCGAAAGGGGUGCUAAUACCGGAUAAUGUCUUCGGACCAAAGAUUUAUCGCCUUUGGAUGGGCCCGCGUUGGAUUAGCUAGUUGGUAGGGUAAAAGCCUACCAAGGCGACGAUCCAUAGCUGGUCUGAGAGGAUGAUCAGCCACACUGGGACUGAGACACGGCCCAGACUCCUACGGGAGGCAGCAGUGGGGAAUAUUGGACAAUGGGCGAAAGCCUGAUCCAGCAAUGCCGCGUGAGUGAUGAAGGCCUUAGGGUUGUAAAGCUCUUUUACCCGGGAUGAUAAUGACAGUACCGUGAGAAUAAGCGCCGGCUAACUCCGUG
rnacentral:rRNA from 1 species